UGGGGAAUUUUGGACAAUGGACGCAAGUCUGAUCCAGCCAUGCCGCGUGCGGGAAGAAGGCCUUCGGGUUGUAAACCGCUUUUGUCAGGGAAGAAACGAGUUUCUCUAAUACAGAGACUUAAUGACGGUACCUGAAGAAUAAGCACCGGCUAACUACGUGCCAGCAGCCGCGGUAAUACGUAGGGUGCAAGCGUUAAUCGGAAUUACUGGGCGUAAAGCGUGCGCAGGCGGUUAUGCAAGACAGAUGUGAGAUCCCCGGGCUCAACCUGGGACCUGCAUUUGUGACUGCAUAGCUAGAGUACGGCAGAGGGGGAUGGAAUUCCGCGUGUAGCAGUGAAAUGCGUAGAUAUGCGGAGGAACACCGAUGGCGAAGGCAAUCCCCUGGGCCUGUACUGACGCUCAUGCACGAAAGCGUGGGGAGCAAACA
rnacentral:rRNA from 1 species